rnacentral:rRNA from 1 species
GGAUUGGAAAUGGGCGCAGCCUGAUCCAGCAAUCCCCGCGUGAGNGAUGAAGGCCUUAGGGUUGUCNAGCUCUUUCGGCGGGGACGAUGAUGACGGUACCCGCAGAAGAAGCCCCGGCUAACUUCGUGCCAGCAGCCGCGGUAAUACGAAGGGGGCAAGCGUUGUUCGGAAUUACUGGGCGUAAAGGGCGCGCAGGCGGCUUUGUAAGUCAGGUGUGAAAGCCCCGGGCUCAACCUGGGAAUUGCACUUGGGACUGCGAAGCUAGAGAUCGGGAGAGGAGAGUGGAAUUCCCAGUGUAGAGGUGAAAUUCGUAGAUAUUGGGAAGAACACCGGUGGCGAAGGCGGCUCUCUGGACCGAUACUGACGCUGAGGCGCGAAAGCGUGGGGAGCAAACAGGAUUAGAUACCCUGGUAGUCCACGCUGUAAACGAUGUGUGCUAGACGUUGGGGAGCCUAGCUCUUCGGUGUCGCAGCUAACGCUUUAAGCACACCGCCUGGGGAGUACGGCCGCAAGGUUAAAACUCAAAAGAAUUGACGGA